rnacentral:rRNA from 1 species
UACAGAGGGUGCGAGCGUUAAUCGGAAUUACUGGGCGUAAAGCGUGCGUAGACGGCUAUCUAAGUCGGGUGUGAAAGCCCCGGGCUCAACCUGGGAAUUGCAUUCGAGACUGAAUAGCUAGGGUACGGUAGAGGGAAGUGGAAUUUCCGGUGUAGCGGUGAAAUGCGCAGAUAUCGGGAGGAACACCCGUAGCGAAGGCGGCACUCUGGGCCGGUACUGACGCUGAGACGCGAAAGCGUGGGGAGCGAACGAGGA